AAGGGGCAGUAAGGCAUAGGUACCUACCCGCGGCUCGGGCAUAGCCUGUCGAGAGACAGGGUAAUACCCGAUGACGUCGAAAGACCAAAGCUCCGGCGGCGGCGGAGGGGCCUAUGUGAUAUUAGCUAGUUGGCGGGGUAACGGCCCACCAAGGCGAAGAUGUCUAGCGGGUGUGAGAGCACGACCCGCGCCACUGGCACUGAGACACUGGCCAGACACCUACGGGUGGCUGCAGUCGAGGAUCUUCGGCAAUGGGCGCAAGCCUGACCGAGCGAGGCCGCGUGGGCGACGAAGGCCUUCGGGUUGUAAAGCCCUGUCGAGAGGGAGAAAAGCGAAAGCUUGAUCUAUCUCUGGAGGAAGCACGGGCUAAGUUCGUGCCAGCAGCCGCGGUAAGACGAACCGUGCGAACGUUGUUCGGAAUCACUGGGCUUAAAGGGCGCGUAGGCGGGCUGCCAAGUCCGGGGUGAAAUCCUCCAGCUCAACUGGAGAACGGCCUCGGAUACUGGAAGUCUCGAGGGAGAUAGGGGCACGCGGAACCGUGGGUGGAGCGGUGAAAUGCGUUGA
rnacentral:rRNA from 1 species